rnacentral:lncRNA from 1 species
AAAACAUAAACCUGUAAUUGCACCACACAAACGUGGAAGGGGUAGGUGGCAAGCCAGUGUGGGCUCCAUUCUUCACCCAACUCUUGCUUGAUUCACGAGGCGUCCCUCUUUUACACCAACUGCAGCCAGUCGGAUACUCAUAUAUAUAUAUAUAUAUAUAUAUAUAUAUACACACACUUUCCCACACUUGAAAAUUUGCCUUCAAUUCCACUCUUAUCAGACCCACCGAUAACGGUGCAUAAUGGCGUCGUCCAUCUCCACCAAACCUUUUCUCGGAGCUUCAUCCUCCGACGGAUCCUCUUUUGGAUCCCUCCAAUCGUCCUCCAGACUCUGCGCUCCCUGUCUUCAGCUCCCUGCUCGCCGAUCCCAACCCAAACGCCUUGGUUAGUGAUUUAUUUGUGUUUUCUUACAUCCAAAUUUGGAUUUUAAUUAAUGGGUUUUCUUAUUGCGAUUUUCU